UACGUAGGUGGCAAGCGUUGUCCGGAUUUACUGGGCGUAAAGAGCGCGCAGGCGGUCGUAUAAGUCGAAUGUGAAAGCCCCCGGCUUAACUGGGGAGGGUCAUUCGAUACUGUUCGACUUGAAGGCAGGAGAGGGCAGCAGAAUUCCAGGUGUAGCGGUGAAAUGCGUAGAUAUCUGGAGGAAUACCGGUGGCGAAGGCGGCAUCCUGGACCGGAAUUGACACUGAGGAGCGAAAGCCAGGGGAGCAAACGGG
rnacentral:rRNA from 1 species